ensembl:lncRNA
AUGAUGGCACCUGAAACCCCGAUUUUUAUGAAUUUCCUCCCAUUUUGGCCAGUUCCCUAAUAUUUCAUAUUUUACAGCUAUUUCAAUUGUCAUCAUCCUUGUUUUCCAAAUUGCAUAAAUUGUAGGGCUGUAGGAACGUUGUAUUCUCCAUGUAUCCCCACUAUGAACGGCAACACAGAGUGUAGAAGACAUUUUAGAGGCACAGAGGAAGUAAAGUAAAUGGAAAGAUGCCAGAAAACAUACACACGCUGAGGGAUGUUUUACGUUAUCUGUAGCAAUGAGAGGGCGGUUUGGGUUUGAGUUCCUGCCAGACUUGGGCCUCCACACACAGCUCCCCAAGCAGCAGCUGCUCAAACUGAUUGCAGCACAAAACAGCUGACUUUGAACUUCCAGACCUUUUCGUCAACACUGGAACAGCUGCGGCUGAAAAGAAUGAAAGGGGCAGGACUCAGAAGCAGACGCAGGCAAGACGAGGUCGGGUGAAGAAUAUAAGGUUUACUGAAGCGGGUUUUCGGUACACUGUCCUCAGUCAACCGGCAACGGGGGGCCAAAUCGGCAGGCAAAAUGCAAAGGUACAUGGAACACUUGUCAAGACACGGCGACCACACGCUAGGAAUCGCUGUGAGCAGACUGAGACGAACUGGCACAGAACAUGCGAUUGACACAGACUAAAGACACGUGACAGGACAAGCAAUGAGACAAAUCUUUAUUGCUCUUUAUUAGUUUUAUGAGCUGUUAUGCUCGUGUGAAGUCACAAUUCCCAAUCAGAAAUCGAUUUAUGUUGCUGUGAAGACAUCUCCAUCAAAGCUAAAUGUUAAUAUUAGGGCUGUCAAAAUGAACGCGUUAAUCUAUGCGAUUAAUGUUAUUAAUGCAAUAAAAUAUUUUAACUCAGCGAACGCAACCCCUGAAACCGCCGCUAGCUGUAGUCAGUUAGAUCGGAGCGACCUAGUCGAAGAUGGAGAGAGCCUUUUUCUAGGAUAAAUACUUCCUCCACAGCUGCAGUGCAACCAGGUCUUCCCACGCUGUACAAAGGCUUUUAUGUAAUAUUUUUGUCUCCGUCCAGCACAUGUGACAUGGUAUCAAAACAGUGGGCUCACUUCAACAUGUGCCUGUGAGAACGUGUCCACACCCAUCGCAAUGUGCCAACUCUGUUUGGACAGGUGGCGUCCGCCGAACGCCGUGGAUCCAGGAAUCAGCACCAUGCGGAGAUGAAAAGAUCAAACUUCUUGUUCAUUACUUUAUGUAAUCCUUUCCCCGUCCGUAGAGGGUUGGUGAGCCUCGAGCAAUACUCAAGAUGCCCAAACGUUGUUAGCAGACUAUUUAUUAAGGUUAUUUGGGUUUUUGGUUGAUCUAGACUGAAAUA